UACGAUGGAGCAGCUAAGCGUUGUUCGGAAGUCUGGGCGUAAAGGGUGUGUAGGCGGUUGUUUAAGUUUGGUGUGAAAUCUCCCGGCUCAACUGGGAGGGUGCGCCGAAUACUGAAUGACUUCGAGUGCGGGAGAGGAAAGUGGAAUUCCUGGUGUAGCGGUGAAAUGCGUAGAUAUCAGGAGGAACACCGGUGGUGUAGACGGCUUUCUGGACCGUAACUGACGCUGAGACACGAAAGCGUGGGUAGCAAACAGG
rnacentral:rRNA from 1 species